GACGAACGCUGGCGGCGUGCCUAACACAUGCAAGUCGAACGGAGAUUCAGAUGAAGCUUGCGAUUCUGAAUCUUAGUGGCGGACGGGUGAGUAACGCGUGGGUAAUCUGCCCUUAAGUGGGGGAUAACAGUCGGAAACGACUGCUAAUACCGCAUAAGCUGGCGGGAACACAUGUUUCUGUCAGGAAAGGUGGCCUCUUAACAAUGCUACCGCUUAAGGAUGAGCCCGCGUCUGAUUAGCUAGUAGGUGGGGUAAUGGCCUACCUAGGCGACGAUCAGUAGCCGGCCUGAGAGGGUGUACGGCCACACUGGAACUGAGACACGGUCCAGACUCCUACGGGAGGCAGCAGUGGGGAAUAUUGCGCAAUGGGGGAAACCCUGACGCAGCGACGCCGCGUGAGCGAAGAAGGCCUUCGGUUGUAAAGCGUCUGUCUGGAGGGACGAAGAAAGUAGACGGUACCUCCGGAGGAAGCCACGGCUAACUACGUGCCAGCAGCCGCGGU
rnacentral:rRNA from 1 species